UACGUAGGGCGCAAGCGUUGUCCGGAAUUAUUGGGCGUAAAGAGCUCGUAGGCGGUCUGUCGCGUCUGCUGUGAAAACUCGGGCUUAACCCCGGGCCUGCAGUGGAUACGGGCAGGCUGGAGUUCGGUAGGGGAGACUGGAAUUCCUGGUGUAGCGGUGAAAUGCGCAGAUAUCAGGAGGAACACCGGUGGCGAAGGCGGGUCUCUGGGCCGAAACUGACGCUGAGGAGCGAAAGCGUGGGGAGCAAACAGG
rnacentral:rRNA from 1 species